UACGUAGGUGGCAAGCGUUGUCCGGAAUCACUGGGCGUAAAGCGCGCGCAGGCGGCGAUCUACGUCUGGGGUGAAAGUCCGGAGCUCAACUCCGGGACUGCCUUGGAUACGGGAUCGCUUGAGGAUUGGAGAGGCAAGGGGAAUUCCACGUGUAGCGGUGAAAUGCGUAGAUAUGUGGAGGAACACCUGUGGCGAAGGCGGCUUGCUGGGCCUUACCUGACGCUGAGGAGCGAAAGCGUGGGGAGCGAACAGG
rnacentral:rRNA from 1 species